rnacentral:rRNA from 1 species
CCUACGGGUGGCAGCAGUAGGGAAUCUUCCACAAUGGGCGAAACCCUGAUGCAGCAACGCCGCGUGGGCGAAGAAGGAUUUCGGUACGUAAAACCCUGUCAUUAAAGAAGAUAGUGCGGGUGCUUAACUGUUCACCUUCGGAUAAAUACGUACCAGCAGACCCGGUCAUACGUAUGGAGCAAGCGUUAUGUGGAUUUACUGGGUGUAAAGGGAUCGUAGACGGUAUGGCAAGUCUGAUGUGAAAGCCUGGGGCUGAACCUGGGUACUGCAUUGGAAACUGGCGGACUGGAGUGCAGAAGAGGUGAGCGGAAUUCCAUGUGUAGCGGUGAAAUGCGUAGAUAUAAGGAAGAACACCAGUGGCGAAAGCGGCUCUCUGGACUGUAACUGACGCUGAGGUUCGAAAGCGUGGGUAGCAAACAGGAUUAGAUACCCGAGUAGUC